CAGUCGCCGCGGUAAUACGAAGGGGGCUAGCGUUGUUCGGAUUUACUGGGCGUAAAGCGCACGUAGGCGGACUUUUAAGUCAGGGGUAAAAUCCCGGGGCUCAACCCCGGAACUGCCUUUGAUACUGGGAGUCUUGAGUUCGAGAGAGGUGAGUGGAAUUGCGAGUGUAGAGGUGAAAUUCGUAGAUAUUCGCAGGAACACCAGUGGCGAAGGCGGCUCACUGGCUCGAUACUGACGCUGAGAUGCGAAAGCGUGGGGAACAAACAGGAUUAGAUACCCCUGUAGUCCCUGUCUCUUAUAC
rnacentral:rRNA from 1 species